UUAUCAAAUGUAGCAAAUAUUUGCCAUGUCUGCUUUGGGUUACUUUUUUUGGGAAGCCUUAGGCCGAUUUUUGGCAACAGGGAUUGAAAACAUUUUACCACUUCCCUUACUGAAAAGGCCUUGUUGCCUGGGUGGGUGCCCAAGUCGUUGGUCUCACAGCUGAGGAAAUCGACGAUGCAGACACACCAAGGACGAGGUCAGAGCAGAAGCAGAAGUUUAACAGGUGAAAGAAAGAGAACAGUUCUCUGCUGCAGAGAGGGGUCCCAGAAAGGGUUGCCGUCCCACAGUAAAAUGAAAGGGUUUUUUUCAUGCGCGUCCGUGUGAAGAGACACCAAACAGGCUUUGUGUGAGCAACAUGGCUGUUUAUUUCACCUGGGGGCAGGCGGGCUGAGUCCGAAAAGAGAGUCAGCGAAGGGAGAUAGGGGUGGGGCCGUUUUAUAGGAUUUGGGAAGGUAAUGGAAAAUUACAGUCAAAGGGGGUUGUUCUCUGGUGGGCAGGGGCGGGGGUCACAAGGUGCUCAGUGGGGGAGCUUCUGAGCCAGGAGAAGGAAAUUCACAGGGUUAAUCACUCAGUUAAGGUGGGGCAAGAACAAAUCACCAUGGUGGAAUGUCAUCAGUUAAGGCGGGGCAGGGCCUUUUCAGUUCUUUUGUGAUUCUUCAGUUACUUCAGGCCAUCUGGGCGUAUACGUGCAAGUCACAGGGGAUGCGAUGGCUUGGCUUGGGCUCAGAGGCCUGACAUUCCUGCCUUCUUAUAUUAAUAAGAAAAAUAAAACAAAAUUGUGUUGAAGUGUUGGGGCGGUGAAAAUUUUUGGGGGGUGGUAUGGAGAGAGAAUGGGCGAUGUUUCUCAGGGCUGCUUCAAGCGGGAUUAGGGGCGGCGUGGGAACCUAGAGUGGGAGAGAUUAAGCUGAAGGGAGGUCUUGUGGUAAGGGGUGACAUUGAGGGGGUUGUUAGAAGAAACAUUUGUCAUACAGAAAGAUUGGUGAUGGCCUGGAUACGGUUUUGUAUGAACUGAAAAACUAAAUGGAAUAAGAGAAGGAGAAAAACAGGUAUAAAAGGACUAAGAAUUGGGAGGAUCUAGGACAUCUAAUUAGAGAAUGCCUAAGGAGGUUCAGCAUAGUCCUUCCAGCGAAGAUUAUUUAUUUACUUCAAGAGUUAAGAGUGGCAGUUUGGGGAUAGCAUGAGGAGAUAUCAGCCAUGAUGGCUUGGAGAAACAGUGUAAACUGGCAGUGUAAACAAGAGCAGGGCAUGUAUGAGUAGUUGAGAACGGAGAAUAGGAGUAUGACUAGACGGAAAAUAGUAGGGAUGACAAGUUUUUUUGGGGGCACAGUCUAAGUUGGUCUGGUGUCUGGGAUGAGACUGGGGCCUAAUAAAAAGGAGCUUAAAUGGACUGUACCUUGUAGCAUUCUGAGGACAGGUCUGACUUCUGAGAAGGGAAAGUGGUAAAAGUAUUGUCCAGUUCUUUUUAAGUUGGUGGCUGAGCUUGGUGAGGUGUGUUUUUAAAAGACCUUUAGUCCGUUCUACUUUUCUUGAAGACAGAGGACUAUAAGGGAUAUAAACUGAAAAACUGCUUGGCUAAUUUGACUAAUAAAGCCUGGUCUGUUAUCAGACUGUAUAGAGGUGGGAAGGCUAAACUGAGGAAUUAUGUCUGACAGAAGGGAAGAAAUGACUGCGGUGGCCUUCUCAGACCCUGUAGGAAAGGCCUCUACCUAUCUAGUGAAAAUGUCUACUUAGACUAAGAGGUAUUUUAGUUUUUGUGACUCGGGGCAUGUGGAGUAAAGCUAAUUUGCCAGUCCUGGGCGGGGGCAAAUCCUCGAGCUUGAUGUGUAGGGAAGGGAGGGGCCUGAAUGAUCCUUGAGGAGUAGCAGAAUAGCAGAUAGAAUAGCAGAUGGAACACUGAGAAGUUAUUUCCUUGAGGAUAGAUUUCUACAAUGGAAAGGAAAUGAGAGGUUCUAAGAGAUGGGCUAGUGGCUUGUAAUAUGGGGAAAUGGGGUGAAUGUCAGGUGGAUCAGAGAGAUGCAGUCAUGGGGAUCAGGUGUGGUAUCAGGAAUAAUGUGGGAGGCCAGAUUGAAGUCUGGGCCAGGAACAAUGGUAAUUGUGGGACUUAACAAAGAAUGAGUACAGCUGAAGGAGCCGGGGAGCAGAAAGUAUAUGCGUCAGGUAUGAGGAAGAAAAUAGAUUUUGGAAGUUAUGAGAAAUGUAGAGAGUGAGUUGAACAUAGUUUGUGAUUUUUAGGGCCUCUAAAAUUAUUAAAGCAGCGGCAGCUGCUGCAUGCAGACAUGAGGGCUAGGCUAAAACAGUAAGGUCAAGUUGUUUGGACAGAAAGGCUACAGGGUGGGGUCCUGGCUCUUGUGUAAGAAUUCUGACCGCACUAACCAUGCCUAGGAAGGAAAGGAGUUGUUGUUUUGUAAGGGAUUGAGGUUUGGGAGAUUAAUCAGACACCAUCAGCAGGGAGAGCACCUGUGUUUUUGUGAAGAAUUAUGCCGAGGUAGGUAACGGAUGGAGAAGAAAUUUGAGCUUUGGAGGGGGAUACCCGAUAUCCUUUGGAGAAUAAAUGCUGAAGGAGCAGAAGUAUGUCUUGUUGAGAAGAUUCAAAGGAGGGGCUACAAAGAAGAAGGUCAUCAAUAUAUUGAAUAAGGUGAGAAGUGGAGGGGUGGAAAGAAAGUAGAUCAUGAGAAAGAGCUUGGCUGAAGUAAUGAGGGCUGUCCCUGGAACCUUGCGGCAGCACAGCCCAGAAGACGAUGAUUCCAGAUGGAAAAAAUGGAAAUGUAAGAGGGAAUUAACAACACUGGAAUUAGUAAACCCAUGGAAUUGUAACAACCACACAAAUAAAAUAAAGAAAUAGAACACUGGCAGCUCUGCGGAAGCUCCUGUAGUCAUCUCUCCAAAUCGCUACUGGCCUUCCCCUCCAAAUGAAAUUGCCAUCCUCACUUUGUGGCAGUCCGUUCUCCGAGCACCUCUUCCUUUUCAGGCGGGCUUCAUCCAUGUGCUAGUUCAGCCUGUGAGAUGCUGGUGAGCCCACCUCCAGGCACUCACGGACUCCCCACCCAUUGAGUGUGGCCUGGAUUUAGUGACUCAAUCAAACGUGACAGAGUGCUGGGGUGUCAUUUUCAAGACUGGGUUAUGUGAAGACUGCAGCCUCCAUCUGGGGUGCUCUCUCUUGGAUUGCUUGCUCAGGGAUGUGGGGAGAGCUGCUGUGCUGGGAGGCUGCCCAUGUGAGUUGACUUGGAUGUGAACCUUCUGUGGCCUGCCAAUAGCCACGUGAGUGACCUUGAAAAUGGAUCAGCCUUCACUCAAGUCUCAAGAUGACUGUGGUCUUGGCUGACAGCUUGAUUGCUGUCUCAUGGGGGACCUUAAACCAAAGGCACCCUGCUAAGCCACACACAGCUUCCUGGCCCACAGAAACUAUGAAAUAAUAACCAUUUCUUAUAUAAGCCUCCAAGUUUUGGGAGUAAUAUUUUGCACAGUGAUGGAUCACUAAUACAAGCCAGUCAUCAGUUGAAAGACACUGAAUUUAUUUCCAGUUUUAUGUGAUUAUGAAUAAUGUCACCAUAUGCAUUUGCAUACAGGUGUUUGUGUGGACACUGCUGUCAUUUCUCUUGGGAAGAUACUGAGGAGUCAGAUUGCUGGAUCCCGUGAAGAAUGUAUGUUGAAUGUUAUAAAAAUCUGCCAACUUAAAUCUGUUUCCUGGUGCUCUUUCGUCAGCAUUGGGAGAUGCUCUAACAUUUCUCACCAAGUCUUUCUUCUGCUCAUGCGCUCCCUCUUCUUUCCCUAAGACUUCAAUCAUCCUCCUCAUUGCCCUUUAUAUCUCUAAACCAUUGUCUGGAGUUUCCAUUCUUCCCUUUUGCUUCAAUCUGUUUCAUUCUGGGGAUUUUCUGAGUUAUCUUCCACUUCUCCAGUUAUUUUUUAUUUGUUUUGUUUUUAAACAACUAUAUCUAAUUAAAUUUAACUUUAUCCUCUGUUGUACUCAAUUUUAUUACUGCAUUUUCCAAUUUCAGAAUUUCCAUUUGACGAUUUCCUUAUAGUUUCCUAUUUCUGCUGAAAUUCUCGUUGUUUUAUUUCGUG
rnacentral:lncRNA from 10 species